CCGAGUUCAUGCCCUUAAACGGGUAGAUCUCCCACCCUUUGUAUACCUUACCUUUGUUGCUUUGGCGGGCCGCCUAGCUACUGGCUUCGGCUGGUAAGUGCCCGCCAGAGGACCCAAAACCCUGAAUUAUUAGUGUCGUCUGAGUAAAAUAUUUAAUAUUUA
rnacentral:misc_RNA from 1 species